UACGUAGGGUGCGAGCGUUAAUCGGAAUUACUGGGCGUAAAGCGUGCGCAGGCUGUUCGUUGUGUCGGUGGUGAAAUCCCCGGGCUUAACCUGGGAACUGCCUUUGAUACUGCAAGUCUCGAGUCCGAUAGAGGUGAGUGGAAUUCCUAGUGUAGAGGUGAAAUUCGUAGAUAUUAGGAAGAACACCAGUGGCGAAGGCGGCUCACUGGAUCGGUACUGACGCUGAGGUGCGAAAGCGUGGGGAGCAAACAGG
rnacentral:rRNA from 1 species